UGGGACUACAGGCAUGCACCAUCAUGCCUGCUAAUUUAAAAUAUUUUUUGUAGAGGCCAGGCACCAGUGGCUCACGCCUGUAAUCCUGGCACUUUGGGAAGCCGAGGCAGGCGGAUCACGAGGUCAAGAAAUCGAGACCAUCCUGGCCAACAUUGUGAAACCCUGUCUCUACUAAAAAUACAAAAAUUGGCUGGCCCUGGUGGUGCACGCCUGUAGUCCAGCUACUCAGGAGGCUGAGGCAGGAGAAUCGCUUGAGCCCGGGAGGCGGAGAUUGCAGUGAGCCAAGAUUGCACCACUGCACUCCAGCCUGGGCGACAGUGCGAGACUCUGUCUCGAAAAAAAAGAAUUUUUUUUUUUUUUUGGAGAGGCAGGGUUUUCCUAUGUUGCCCAGGUUGGUCUUGAACUCCUGGGCUCAAGCGAUCUGUCCACCUCAGCCUCCCAAAGUGCUGGAACUACAGGCAUGAGCCACUGUGCCUGGUUGACUUUUCCUUUCCAAAUGAACAAGUUUGGGUUGAGUUUUCAGUCACUGAGACCAAACUGGUCCCAAUGAGUACACCAGUAAUCUUAGCCUCAGAGGUGUGCAUCUACUCACAGAAGGGCUCAGUGGCUUCCAGUGUUCAAGGCUACUGGAUUGCACAAGAGCUGUUAUAGGACAAGCCCCGUGGAUACUGGUGGCUCAGAGGUCUUACAGAUGAGGUUUCACUGGGAACCAAUCAGAACUCCCUUAUUUGCAAGUAACAGACACCAAACUCAAAUGGACUUGUGAGAAUAUGUUGGCUCAUGUAAUUGAAAAAGCCACUUGUGGCUGGGCGCAGUGGUUCACACCUGUAAUCCCAGCACUUUGGGAGGCCAAGGUGGGGCAGAUCACGUGAGGUCAGGAGUGCAAGACCAGCCUGGCCAACAUGGUGAAACCCUGUCUUUACUAAAAAUACAAAAAUUAGUCGGGUGUGUUGGUGCACGCCUGUAAUCCCAGCUACACGGGAGGCUGAGGCAGUAGAAUCACUUGAACCCGGGAGGCAGAGGUUGUAGUGAGCUGAGAUCGUGCCAUUGCACUCCAGCCUGGGUGACAGAGUGUGCUCCGUUU
rnacentral:lncRNA from 10 species